GAUAAAGGAAUUGAAUCAAAAAAGCAAGGGUUUGCGUUAUGGUGAAGUAAGGGCAACACCAACCAUAGCCGAGAUAUCGGGAAAUGGUUGGAGGCACACAGUUGACUUGGGAAAAAGAGAAUGCUCUUGUAGGCGCUGGCAGAUUGGUGGUAAGCCUUGCACACAUGCUCUCCAUUUCAUAUUCUCCAAAGGAGAGAAAGUAGAUCAGUAUGUCGAUGAUUGCUUCUCGGUGGCGAAGUUCCAAGCUGCAUAUGAGCCAGUUCUCAUGCCAACUAGGGGCCAAUCACAAUGGCCUAAGGUGCAACCAGACUUUGAAAUGAUUCCUCCCAAGCUCUCAAGGAGUGCAGGACGUCCAAGAACUAGGAGAUACAAGAACAAUUGGGAGGGUGGAACUGGUAGGAAACAUGUAUGCAAAAGAUGUGGACAACUGGCCAUCUUAAGAAAACAUGCAAAGAACCAGAAAAAGAUAGCGAUGCCGAUCAAGAUGCAACUCCUCUUCCAAAACGGCAAAAGUCAAACAAACCUCCAGGAACCACUACUUCUACUCCUCCGUGCACGCCAACUAAGCAAUCUUCUCAACCUUUUAUUGCAACUUCAAGCCCGAUGACAAGGUUGAGGGCAGCAGCCAUUGCGAUUGCUUCUUCACCUCCUAGUGCAUCUACGAGGAGCAAAAGUACUACUAAUAGCCCCUUCAAACAAGUUUAUUUAAUUUACCUGUAUGUUGAACUACUAGUGUGAUUCUUUUGGUGAUGUAUGGGGCAAGUGAUCCUUUUGGUGAUGUAUGGAGCAUGUGAUCCUUUUGGUGAUGUGUGGGGCAUCUGAUCCCUUUGGUGAUGUGUUUGGCUUGUAAUUAUGAUAUAUACUCUAUGUUCUGCUGAAAUGCUCGUGAAAUUAUAUGAAAAUGAUGUCAAAGUGUUGGCUGAAA